rnacentral:lncRNA from 1 species
AAAAAAGAAGAUGUGGUAUGAUUGCCAACUAUCCACAAAAGACCAAAAUGACACAGACAUUAACAACAAUAGGUCACCGUACGGCCUUCAACAAUGAGCAAAGCCCAUACCGCAUAGUUAGCUUUAAUAGGCCUCGAUAAGACAAUGUAAAACAAUUCAAACGAGAAAACUAACGGCCUUAUUUAUGUAAAAAAAUGAACGUAAAACAAAUAUGUAACACAUAAACAAAAGACAAC